GCUUACUAGCAGUUGAAGUUGAGGACGGAGCCCGGCUCCCGUAGGAGUCCGGGCGGAGUCUACUUGCGGUCGAAGUUGUGGGCGGAGUCCAGCUCCCGUAGGAGUCCGGACAAAGUCCGUCUGCAGCCGUUGGAGUCGAGGACGGAGCCCGGCUCCCGUAGGAAUCCGGGCGGAGUCUUCCUGCAAUUAAAAUCAAAGGCGAAGUCCGGCUCCCAUAGGAGUUCGGACAAGGCUUACUAGCAGUUGGAGUUGAGGACGGAGCCCGACUCUCGUAGGAGUCCGGGCGGAGUCUACUUGCGGUCGAAGUCGUGGGCAGAGUCCGGCUCCCGUAGGAGUCCGGACGAAGUCCGUCUGCAGCCGUUGGAGUCGAGGACGGAGCCCAGCUCUCGUAGGAAUCCGGGCGGAGUCUUCCUGCAAUUAAAAUCAAAGGCGAAGUACGGCUCCCGUAGGAGUCCGAACAAGGCUUACUAGCAGUUGAAGUUGAGGACGGAGCCCGGCUCCCGUAGGAGUCCGGGCGGAGUCUACUUACGGUUGAAGUCGUGGGCGGAGUCCGGCUCCC
rnacentral:lncRNA from 1 species